rnacentral:rRNA from 1 species
UCUNUCUUAAAAGUUCGGGGCUUAACCCCGUGAUGGGAUGGAAACUGCUGAUCUAGAGUAUNGGAGAGGAAAGUGGAAUUCCUAGUGUAGCGGUGAAAUGCGUAGAUAUUAGGAAGANCACCAGUGGCGAAGGCGACUUUCUGGACGAAAACUGACGCUGAGGCGCGAAAGCCAGGGGAGCGAACGGGAUUAGAUACCCCGGUAGUCCUGNCCGUAAACGAUGGGUACUAGGUGUAGGAGGUAUCGACCCCUUCUGUGCCGGAGUUAACGCAAUAAGUACCCCGCCUGGGGAGUACGACCGCAAGGUUGAAACUCAAAGGAAUUGACGGGGGCCCGCACAAGCGGUGGAGUAUGUGGUUUAAUUCGACGCAACGCGAAGAACCUUACCAGGUCUUGACAUUGAUGGACAGAACUAGAGAUAGUUCCUCUUCUUCGGAAGCCAGAAAACAGGUGGUGCACGGUUGUCGUCAGCUCGUGUCGUGAGAUGUUGGGUUAAGUCCCGCGACGAGCGCAACCCCUAUCUUAUGUUGCCAGCACUUUGGGUGGGAACUCAUGAGAGACUGCCGCAGACAAUGCGGAGGAAGGCGGGGAUGACGUCAAAUCAUCAUGCCCCUUAUGACCUGGGCUACACACGUACUACAAUGGGAGUUAAUAGACGGAAGCGAGAUCGCGAGAUGGAGCAAACCCGAGAAACACUCUCUCAGUUCGGAUCGUAGGCUGCAACUCGCCUACGUGAAGUCGGAAUCGCUAGUAAUCGCAGGUCAGCACGCCGCGGUGAAUACGUUCCCGGGCCUUGUACACACCGCCCGUCACACCACGAGAGUUUGUAACACCCGAAGUCGGUGAGGUANCCUUA